rnacentral:misc_RNA from 1 species
CGACAAGCUUUCUCGUCCGGGAAAUUUUCCGUCCGUCAAUACACUUCCCAAAUGUUGUUCGCUUCAUCCACAUCUCGCCGGCACCGUACCUGGAGACGAACCUUGUUGUGAGUCAUCGAAUUUUAUCACGGAGUCUCUCUUUUAGUCCGGUUAGGUGUGCGGCGGCGUCCAAAGGUGGUGCUGAUGAUGGAAAGAAGUCUCCGGCGCGGCUUGCUCAGGUUCAACAGCUGUUACAUGAAGCUAAGGAGCGAUCUCAAGCUGCGGGAAACGAUCCUAUUCCUAAGAUUACUCUUGAUCACGUGACUGUCAACUUUGCAAGAAGUGGAGGUCCUGGAGGUCAAAAUGUCAAUAAAGUAAAUACCAAGGUGGAUAUGCGGUUCAAUGUUGAAAAUGCUUAUUGGUUAAGUGACAGAGUCAGAGAGAAGAUUUUGCAAAUGGAAAAGAAUCGGAUAAAUAAGGAUGGAGAGCUUGUGAUCUCUUCAACAAAGACGAGAACUCAGAAGGGUAACAUCGAAG